GACGAACGCUGGCGGCGUGCUUAACACAUGCAAGUCGAACGGUAAGGCCCUUCGGGGUACACGAGUGGCGAACGGGUGAGUAACACGUGGGUGAUCUGCCCUGCACUUCGGGAUAAGCCUGGGAAACUGGGUCUAAUACCGGAUAGGACCAUGGACUUCACGGUUUGUGGUGGAAAGCUUUUGCGGUGUGGGAUGGGCCCGCGGCCUAUCAGCUUGUUGGUGGGGUAAUGGCCUACCAAGGCGACGACGGGUAGCCGGCCUGAGAGGGUGUCCGGCCACACUGGGACUGAGAUACGGCCCAGACUCCUACGGGAGGCAGCAGUGGGGAAUAUUUGCACAAUGGGCGCAAGCCUGAUGCAGCGACGCCGCGUGAGGGAUGACGGCCUC
rnacentral:rRNA from 1 species